CUAUGCAUAGGUUUUUGCUAUUAUGGAUGAUGAGGAGUGCUAGCGACAGUCGCUGGCCUCCUUUUGUCACGUGUCUAUGUUUAUGCUUUUCAUACAUUAGCUUUGUUAUUUAAAAAAAAUGUCCUUCAAAUUAACAUUUAUUACAAAUCUGCCACCAAUACCAAUUGCGUGGAGUGAGCUUCGCUUGCCUGCUCUUCAAAAUAAAAACAAACAAGGACGCAGAUAGCUUCACUUGUCUGCCUUUCAAAUCCAGUGUUUCCAUCAUCAAGCUCUCCUCGUCUUCCACUUCAAUUCCCCCGCUCGCUUCCAGCUUCCUUCGUUGUACAAUUGCCCUCGAAUUCUAUCCAAAUUUACCGCCAUGCCAUUUCUCCUCUUUCAUAGCCCUGGUAAUUCCACUUAUCUGAAACUAAACUUUGAGUUUCUUUCCUCGAAUCCAAAUUUACUUAUUUAUUAUCUUUUUUUGUCCCCCAAAAUAUGUGGCACUGUGUGGUGAAAUUGUUGUGCUGAACAACAAAUAAGCUUUGGGAGACGGCGGUAAGCGGUUCAGGCAACAAAGUUUUGGGAAGAGAAACAAUUGAAGAAUUGGAGUUUCUAAUCGACAAAAGAGAACAUCUGUAUAGAAGAGUAUGGUAAAUUUGUAAUAAAUUUUAAUUUGAAG
rnacentral:lncRNA from 1 species